GGGAUAUGAAGACUGAGUUUUUUUUUGUUGUUGUUGGAAUGGUGGAAGGAGUCAGGCUGGCUAUGAGGACUGUGAGAUGAGCAGAACGAAAUGACACUGAUGAUAAUGGGAAAAUAUUAAUGGGAAAAUUGCCAGUCAGUGUGCUAAGUUAUGUAUAUCAGCUCAUUUUCCCCCCACUCAACUACUCUGUGAAGAACACGGCAUCAUCACCAGCAAAUCAUAAGUUCUGCAUCAUAGUCACUCUCUGCUGAGAAGAAUGAUUCACUUGUAUAAAAGAAUGACCUGUGAUUGACUUAUUGUUGGAAACAAAUAAAAAAAGUUAUAAUAAAUCAAGACAAGCAUUUUGAAGGGGGUGAAAACCUGGGAUCAGG